ACGCUCGACACCUACGGGGGCAGCAGUCGGGAAUAUUGCGCAAUGGAGGAAACUCUGACGCAGUGACGCCGCGUAUGGGAAGAAGGUUUUCGGAUUGUAAACCAUUUUAGACAAGGAAGAAACAAGACAGUACUUGUAGAAUAAGCUCCGGCUAACUACGUGCCAGCAGCCGCGGUAAUCUGAGGCGGGCUGGACAAGGC
rnacentral:rRNA from 1 species